rnacentral:lncRNA from 1 species
CAAAAAAGUACGUCCAGUAAGGAUAUCUAACAGUUUUAAAAGUGUAUGCACCUAAUAAAGUCUCAACCAUAUGCAAUGACAAGACUCAUAGAACUAAACAGAGAAAUACACAAAUCCAUAAUCACUGUAGAUAACUGAUUGAAUAAGAAGAUAAAAUAUUAGCAAAGAUAAACAUCUGAUAAAAUCAUAGUAAAUUUGAUUUAAUUUAAAGCAUUGGAUCUAAUUUGACAUACACUGAUCAACUGUAUAAGAUACAUUAUUCUGGAAUGCACUAAAACAUUUAACAAAUUUGGGUGACACACUAGGCUCAACAAAUCUCAAAAAAAAAUUAUAACUCAAUAAAUGUCACAGGAUUAAAGUCAUACAAAUUGUAUUCUCUUCUCACAGUGGGAUUAAAUCAGAUAUAAGCAAAAUACAUAUAACUGGGAAGUUCCUGAAUAUUCUGUUUUUUAAAAAUCACUAAAAUAAGACACCAGCCUAAGAAAAUUAUAUAUUAGAAAACAAGUAAGGCUGGAAAAGCAAUGAGCUAAGUAUCCAUUUCAAGAAGUUAAAGAGGUGUCAAAUUCAGGUUUGUAUGUUUACUGUGCAUAAUUAAUGCCUAUAAAGUCUUGUCUAUCUAAAUCCUGGAGUUGAAUACCUGGUAUUUGUUUUUUUGGUGAGGGUUUUUUUAAAUUUUGGGAAUCUUAAUUAAAAGCUAUUAAGUACAGCAUGUGAUGAAAUACUUGUCUUGAGUUUGGCUGAUAAUUGCCUUAUCUUUUUCACCCUUAUAGCUGCUUUGAUUCAGCAAGCCACCACAGUUAAAAACAAGGAUAUCAGAAAAUUUUUGGAUGGUAUCUAUGUAUCUGAAAAAGGAACAGUUCAGCAGGCUGAUGAAUAAGAUCUCAGUGGUCCUGCUGCAGAAACAACAAGAUGGUUGUUUGGAAUCAGAUGGUUCUAUGGACUCAGUUGUGAUCCUUUAAAGAGACAAUAAAAACUCUUGAUUUGAGGUUUUUUCCUACUGAUUUGUUAUUUCAAAGUAUUUGGCCAGUAAACAGUUAAGUAAAUUCUAAUUUGUUAAUAAUGACAGAAGGAAUAGGAGUGGUUGAUUUUGUUGUUGUUGUUAGCAAGACUUAAUGGCAGAAGGGGCUUGAAGGAAUACCAAGGACAUUUCAGGCAAGAGGAAUACGGUUAUCGUGGGAAGAACUUUAGGAGAUGCCCUGAAGGUAUCUAAUUUUACAGUGGCAUAGAUUUGAAGAUUUGUGAGGCAAAUGCCUGAGUCACAGUAACUGAAAAGGCAGCUGAGAAGUGAAACUUGUCUUAGUAAGAAUUAAAAGAUGGAGUUAAUUUAUAUUUAUGAUAAACAUGGUUGCCAUAGUCUAAGGUUCUCUCAGACCCAAAUUUCAGCCACUUCUGUAUCUUAGUCUUUGGUAGCUUUAAAAAAACUUAAGAAACGUUCCAUGUGUCAUACUUCAGAUACACUACUAAACAAUACUGUGUUUUAACUUAGUAGGGUUGCCCCUAAACCUGCAGUCCUCCCCUAUCUGAUUUGUUAAAAACUGUAACUGUGUAAUUUCUCAGGCAAUACAUUUAACUUCGUCUUACCUACUGUGUGUAGUCCAUCAAUAAAAUCUGUGGGCUUACUUAAAAAAAAAAAAAGAAGAAGUUAAAGAAUAUCAAAAACUUCCUAAGUAAAAUUGAAAAGAUGAAGAUUACUGAAAUGCAACAAGUAGAAAUCAAAGCAACAAAGUCCAAUGUUUAUUCUUCAAAAUGACUUAAAAUUUAUAUAAUCCUUGAAAAUCAAAAAAAGAACACAAAUGGCUAAUACAAAGAAUGAAAAAAAGUUAACCACAAAAACAUGCUUCAGAUACUA